UACAGAGGUGGCAAGCGUUGUUCGGAAUUACUGGGCGUAAAGGGCGCGUAGGUGGCCUUUUGAGUCAGACGUGAAAUCCCCGGGCUUAACUCGGGAACUGCGUCUGAUACUGGAAGGCUUGAGUUCGGGAGAGGAAUGUGGAAUUCCAGGUGUAGCGGUGAAAUGCGUAGAUAUCUGGAGGAACACCGGUGGCGAAGGCGGCAUUCUGGACCGAAACUGACGCUGAUGCGCGAAAGCCAGGGGAGCAAAC
rnacentral:rRNA from 1 species